rnacentral:piRNA from 1 species
UGAUGUUUUUAGUUGUUGAAGAGCCAC